AUUGAACGCUGGCGGAAUGCUUUACACAUGCAAGUCGAGCGGCAGCACGGGGGCAACCCUGGUGGCGAGCGGCGAACGGGUGAGUAAUACAUCGGAACAUGCCCAGUCGUGGGGGAUAACACUUCGAAAGAAGUGCUAAUACCGCAUACGUCCUGAGGGAGAAAGCGGGGGAUCUUCGGACCUCGCGCGAUUGGAGUGGCCGAUGUCAGAUUAGCUAGUUGGUGGGGUAAAGGCCUACCAAGGCAACGAUCUGUAGCUGGUCUGAGAGGAUGAUCAGCCACACUGGGACUGGGACACGGCCCAGAAUCCUACGGGAGGCAGCAGUGGGGAAUUUUGGACAAGGGGGGCAACCCUGAUCCAGCGAUGCCGCGUGUGUGAAGAAGGCCUGAGGGUUGUAAAGCACUUUCAGUUGGGAGGAGAGUAUGUUUGUUAAGAGCUGACAUAUGAGACGUUACCGACAGAAUAAGCACCGGCUAACUCUGUGCCAGCAGCCGCCGUAACAC
rnacentral:rRNA from 1 species